rnacentral:tRNA from 1 species
GCCCGGAUAGCUCAGUCGGUAGAGCAGGGGAUUGAAAAUCCCCGUGUCGGUGGUUCGAUUCCACCUCCGGGCACCA